rnacentral:rRNA from 1 species
AUGGUGAGCGCCGGUCAAGCUGGCGCGGACGGACCUUCCACCAGUGAUAUUAGGGGAACCGGAAACGGCGCCGUAGAGAAUGGCCAUGCCCUCGAGGCAAACGAGGACAAGGAAUGGAGGGGCGGCAUCAAGGAAGAGGACUGGCCCAGCACGCACAGUGCGCCGCCGGGCUUGGACGAGCAGAAGCAGCAGCAAGACCGGGUUAUCCGGUGGGAGAAGUUCCUGCCGGUGAAGACACUAAGGGUCUUGCUGGUGGAGAACGAUGACUGUACCCGACAUGUUGUCCGUGCUCUGCUCCGUAAGUGUGGCUAUGAAGUUAUCUCUGCUGAGAAUGGAUUGCAUGCAUGGCAAUAUCUUGAAGAUGUGCAAAACCGUAUUGACCUGGUAUUAACCGAGGUCGCCAUGCCUUGUCUAUCUGGCAUUGGUCUGCUCAGUAAGAUCACGAGUCACAGUAUUUGCAAGGGCAUUCCUGUGAUCAUGAUGUCUAAGAAUGACUCGAUGAGUACAGUCUUUAGGUGUCUAUCAAAGGGAGCAGUUGACUUCUUAGUGAAGCCGAUACGGAAGAAUGAACUUAAGACCCUUUGGCAGCACAUAUGGAGGCGAUGCCACAGUUCCAGUGGAAGUGAAAGUGGCAUCCAUACACAAAAAUGUUCCAAACCGAAGGCUGGUGAUGAAUAUGAGAACAACAGUCAUGAUGACGAUGACGAUUGCGGCAGUCAUGAUGACGAUGACGAUGACGAUGAUGAUGCCGAUGACGACUUUAGUGUUGGGCCCAAUGCUAGGGAUGGCAGUGAUAAUGGCAGUGGCACUCAGAGUUCAUGGACGAAGCGUGCUGUGGAGAUUGAUAGCCCACAACUUUUGUCUUCUGAUCAUCUAGCAGAAUCACCUGAUAGUACUUGUGCGCAAGUAAUUCACCCCAGAUCAGAGAUAGGCAGCAAUAGGUGGUUGCCGACUGCAAAUAAAAGGAACAUCAAUAAUCAAAAAGAAAAUAAUGAUGACUCCAUGGGGAAAUACUUAGAAAUAGGCGCUCCUAGAAAUUCAAGUCUUGGGUAUCAAUCUUCUCCAAAUGAGAUGUCUGUUAAUCCAACAGAAAAACAGCAUGAGAAUCUCACAUCCCAAAACAAGUCAGUAAACAAAAUAGUCAUCGACAAACCAACUUGUCAAACUGCUGAUUUGAUUAGUUCAAUAGCCAGAAACACAGAAUCGAAACAGGCUGCUAGAAUCACUGAUGCACCUGACUGCUCCUCCAAGAUGCCAAACGGGAAUGAAAUGAAAAACGAUUCUCCCAUCAACAUGCCAUCCCAAGAGCUGGGUCUGAAGAUAUCGGAAACAACUAGAUGUGAAACUGAAAUCCAUGAUGAACGAAGUAUUCCGAAAAGAUCAAAUCUGUCAGCAUUCACCAGGUACCAUACUCCCAUGGCUUCCGAUCAAGGUGGGGCAACAUUUCGGGGAAGCUGUUCACCUCAAGAUAACAGCUCAGAGGCUGUGAAAACGAACUCCACCUGCAAGAUGGAGUCAAAUUCAGAUGCUGCUCAAAUAAAGCAGGGCUCAAAUGGCAGUAGCAACAACAAUGACAUGGGCUCCAGUACAAAGAGUGCCAUCGCAAAGCCUUGUACAGACAGGGAGAGAGUUAUGUUACCAUCACUUGUUAAAUCGAACCAGCAGACUUCAGCAUUCCAUCCGGUGCAGCACCAAGUGUCACCAGCUCAUGUGGCACGCAAGGACAAAGCUGCUGAAGAAAUUGCCAAUGCAGUGAAAGUGGGCCACUCAAGCGAGGCACAGCAAAGCUCUGUGCAGCAUCACCAUCAUGCACACUAUUACCGCCAUGUUAUGGCACAGCAACAGACAUUAAUUGACGGUGCAUCAAACGCUCGGUGUGGCUCAUCCAAUGCUUCCGAUUCACCCAUGGAAGGUCAUGCUGCUAACUAUGGUGUGAAUGUGAGCGUCUCAGGCAGCAAUAAUGGAAGCAAUACGCAGAAUGGAAGUAGCUCCGCUCCCAAUAUUGCAAGGCCAAACAUGGAGAGUGGUACCAUGGACAAAAUUGAGGCUGACGGUGGCAAUGGCAGCGGGAGCAGGCCGAGCGGUAGUGGCAAUGACAUGGUUUGUCAGAAUCAGCUCAGCCAACGAGAAGCUGCAGUGAACAAAUUCAGGCAGAAGCGGAAAGAGAGGAACUUCGGGAAAAAGGUGCGGUACCAAAGCAGGAAGAGACUGGCCGAGCAGCGGCCACGUGUCCGUGGGCAAUUCGUUCGACAGUCUGGACAAGAUGAGGCAGGCCAAGCAGAAGACGGAUGA